UGGGGAAUUUUUCGCAAUGGGCGCAAGCCUGACGAAGCAACGCCGCGUGGGGGAUGAAGGCCUUCGGGUCGUAAACCCCUGUCGACCGGGACGAAAGCAGUCCGACCCAAUACGUCGGGCUGUUGACUGUACCGGUGGAGGAAGCCACGGCUAACUCUGUGCCAGCAGCCGCGGUAAUACAGAGGUGGCAAGCGUUGUUCGGAAUUACUGGGCGUAAAGGGCGCGUAGGCGGUUCGUUAAGUCCCGCGUGAAAUCCCCCGGCUCAACCGGGGAAUGGCGUGGGAAACUGGCGGGCUUGAGUUCGGGAGAGGGAAGCGGAAUUCCGGGUGUAGCGGUGAAAUGCGUAGAUAUCCGGAGGAACACCGGUGGCGAAGGCGGCUUCCUGGACCGACACUGACGCUGAGGCGCGAAAGCUAGGGGAGCAAACGGG
rnacentral:rRNA from 2 species